GUUUAAAAAUUGUGUGGCGGUGACCCGUCCGACCAACCAAGAUGGCUGCCAUGGCUAAUAAUAGAACAUAGAGGGGAAAUGUAGAUUUUAGCUUAUAUCUCUGACACCACAGCAUUUAGAGCAAAUCAAUCUGAUUGAAUAAAAUUGUUUAUCAGGUCAAGAUCUAUCUGCCCUGAAAUUUUCAGACAAAUCAGACAACCUGUUGUUGGGUUGCUGCCCCGAAUUAGUAAGUUUAAGGAAAUUUUGCAGAUUUUGGUUAUUAUCUUGAAUAUUAUUAUAGAUAGAGAUAAACUGUAAACAGCAAUAAUGUUCAGCAAAAUAAGAUCUACAAAUAAUCAACAUGACCAAAAUUUUCAAAUGACCCCUUAAGGAGUUAUUGCCUUUUAUAGUCAAUUGUUAACAACAUGUUUUUAGGAAAUAUUUUCCACUGUAAUUACUGGGCCAAGUUCAUUAUAGAGAGC
rnacentral:lncRNA from 1 species